AACGAACGCUGGCGGCAUGCCUAACACAUGCAAGUCGAACGAGACCUUCGGGUCUAGUGGCGCACGGGUGCGUAACGCGUGGGAACCUUCCCUUAGGUUCGGAAUAACUCCCCGAAAGGGGUGCUAAUACCGGAUAAUGUCUUCGAACCAAAGAUUUAUCGCCUUUGGAUGGGCCCGCGUUGGAUUAGCUAGUUGGUAGGGUAAAAGCCUACCAAGGCGACGAUCCAUAGCUGGUCUGAGAGGAUGAUCAGCCACACUGGGACUGGGACGCGGCCGAGACUCCUACGGGAGGCAGCAGUGGGGAAUAUUGGACAAUGGGCGAAAGCAUGAACCAGCAAUGCCGCGUGAGUGAUGAAGGCCUUAGGGUUGUAAAGCUCUUUUACCCGGGAUGAUAAUGACGGUACCGGAAGAAUAAGCUCCGGCUAACUCCGUG
rnacentral:rRNA from 1 species